rnacentral:rRNA from 1 species
GACGAACGCUGGCGGCGUGCUUAACACAUGCAAGUCGAACGGAAAGGCCCUGCUUUUGUGGGGUGCUCGAGUGGCGAACGGGUGAGUAACACGUGAGUAACCUGCCCUUGACUUUGGGAUAACUUCAGGAAACUGGGGCUAAUACCGGAUAGGAGCUCCUGCUGCAUGGUGGGGGUUGGAAAGUUUCGGCGGUUGGGGAUGGACUCGCGGCUUAUCAGCUUGUUGGUGGGGUAGUGGCUUACCAAGGCUUUGACGGGUAGCCGGCCUGAGAGGGUGACCGGCCACAUUGGGACUGAGGUACGGACCAGACUCCUACGGGAGGCAGCAGUGGGGAAUAUUACGGAAUGGGCGGAAGCCUGAUACAGCAACGCCGCGUGCGGGAUGACGGCCUUCGGGUUGUAAACCGCUUUCGCCUGUGACGAAGCGUGAGUGACGGUAAUGGGUAAAGAAGCACCGGCUAACUACGUG